UGGGGAAUAUUGCGCAAUGGGGGGAACCCUGACGCAGCCAUGCCGCGUGAAUGAAGAAGGCCUUCGGGUUGUAAAGUUCUUUCGGUAUUGAGGAAGGUUGAUGUGUUAAUAGCACAUCAAAUUGACGUUAAAUACAGAAGAAGCACCGGCUAACUCCGUGCCAGCAGCCGCGGUAAUACGGAGGGUGCGAGCGUUAAUCGGAAUAACUGGGCGUAAAGGGCACGCAGGCGGUUAUUUAAGUGAGGUGUGAAAGCCCUGGGCUUAACCUAGGAAUUGCAUUUCAGACUGGGUAACUAGAGUACUUUAGGGAGGGGUAGAAUUCCACGUGUAGCGGUGAAAUGCGUAGAGAUGUGGAGGAAUACCGAAGGCGAAGGCAGCCCCUUGGGAAUGUACUGACGCUCAUGUGCGAAAGCGUGGGGAGCAAACAGGAUUAGAUACCCUGGUAGUCCACGCUGUAAACNCUGUCGAUUUGGGGAUUGGGCUUAGAGCUUGGUGCCCGUAGCUAACGUGAUAAAUCGACCGCCUGGGGAGUACGGCCGCAGGUUA
rnacentral:rRNA from 1 species